GACAUAUCUGAACCGACACACAAGAAUACAACUUAGCUAAAUAGUCAUAAACACAUAGAUUGACAGAUAUAAUCAACACACAUUUAAUGUUUUAAAAGAAAUCUCUCUAAUAUGUGACCCUGGACCACAAAACCAGUCAUAAGUAGCACAGGUAUAUUUGUAGCAAUAGCCAACAAUACAUUGUAUGGCUCAAAAUUAUCGAUUUUUCUUUUAUGCCAAAAAUCAUUUGAAUAUUAAGUAAAGAUCAUGUUCCAUAAAAAUAUUUUGUAAAUUUCCAACUGUAAAUAUAUCAAAAAUGUAUUUUUUGUGAGUGGAUAUGCAUUGCGCUAAGGACUUCAUUUGGACAGUUUUAAAGGCGAUUUUCUCAAUAUUUUGAUUAUUUUUUGAAUAUUUUUUUGCACCCUCAGAUUCCAGAUUUUCAAAUAGUUGUAUCUCGGCCAAAUAUUGUCAUAUAACAAACCAUACAUCGAUGGAAAGCUUAUUUUUUCAGCUUUCAGAUGAUCUAUAAAUCUCAAUUUCAAAACAUUGACCCUUAUGACCCUUAUGUUUUGUGGUCCAUGGUCACAUAUUAUUAGAAAUUAAACUAAUGUUUAACAUAUUAACUGUUAUCAAUUUUAAUAUACUAAAAAUAACCAUUACUCCAGUCUUCAGUGUCACAUGAUCCUCCAGAAAUCAUUCUAAUAUGUUGAUUUGGUGCUCAAGAAACAUUUCCUAUAAUUAUCAAUGUUGAAAACAGUUGUGCUGCUUAAUAUUUAUGUGGAGGCUGUGAUACAUUUUUUCAGGAUUAUUUGCUGAAUAUAAAGUUCAAAAGAACAGCAUUUAUUUGAAAUAGAAUUUUUGUAACAUUAUAAAUAUCACUUUUGAUCAAUUUAUUGUAUCCUGAAAGUAUUAAAGGGAUAGUUCACCCAAAAAUGAAUUCUGUCAUCAUUUACUCACCCUCAAGUAGUUUUAAACCUGUAUGAAUUUCUUUGUUCUGCUGUACACAAAGGAAGAUAUUUGGAAGAAUGCAAGUAACUAAACAGAUCUCGCACCCCAUCGACUACCAUAGUAUAUUUAUUUUUCCUACUAUGGUAGUAAAUGAGGGUGAGGUAAAUGAUGACAGAAUUUUCAUUUUUGGGUGAACUAUCCCUUUAAUUUAUUUAAAAAAAUAAAAAAAAAUCUUACUGACCCCAUACAGUUUGACAGGACAGACACACACACAUUUUGUUUACUCAAUCCAAACAAACUCAAGGCAUACAUGGCAGAGUUACAUCCUGGGGAUGUAAACUGAUUUAUAUCUGAUUUUUUGAGGAGUCUAUUUAUUUUGGUUUGGUGUGAAACAUUCUAACAGCUAGCAGACUGUCUUUUCAGAGGCACUGACACAGGACACAAAGAAGUUAUAGAGGGUUAUCAAUCUGCCUGACAGUCUGUUGAUGGAUGCUGCUCGAAGCAGUCUGGCACGAGAGCCUCCUGAUCCUAUCCUGGUAUUCCCUCGUUCAGCUGGGGGUUUUGGGAGAGUUGCUUCAUCGUCACAGCCAUCCUUAUCCAGGGACACAGACAGCCUGGGUUUCUAGGAUUGACAGAACUCUUCAAUUACUGUUUCCUGUUUUCAUUUGAAUAGUCAAACAUAAAGUUUUGAAUAGCCUCUUACAUGUUCCAGUGGGCUGAGACGAGUUCCAGAGCCGGGCCUGGAGUCAGGAACUUCAAAAUGUUGGCCAUGAAGGCUAGAAAAGAAAUUUGUGAAGGCAAUUAAAACCAGCAUAUCAGUCUUCUAUGAAUAAGCAACCAGUUAACAUUAUAAUUCAAGUACUUCAUACUUGAGUGCAACAGUCGGGUUCUGGAAGUAAAAAGAAGAAUUUAUUUUCUCCAUACGAGGAAUUUUUUUUUUU